rnacentral:rRNA from 1 species
CGCGUAGGCGGCUCAUACAGUCAGGCGUGAAAUUCCUAGGCUCAACCUGGGGACUGCGCUUGAGACGUGUGGGCUUGAGUGGGGAAGAGGGUCGUGGAAUUCCCAGUGUAGAGGUGAAAUUCGUAGAUAUUGGGAAGAACACCGGUGGCGAAGGCGGCGACCUGGUCCUUGACUGACGCUGAGGCGCGAAAGCGUGGGGAGCAAACA